UAAAAGGGUUUCUGCCGUGAGUGGCACUCGGGCGGGGCCCCGCGCCUCGUCCGUGCGGAAUCGAUAUCAAGAGAUUUCGGAAGCACAAUUUUUGUUCUGAGGGGCUGCUGGUGACCGAGCGUCCCGGCGCCCCG